AUUAUGGUAGUUUAACAAAAACACUGAGCUGUGGUUUCAGAAUUGCUUUCUAGCCCUUAAUC
rnacentral:tRNA from 1 species